rnacentral:snRNA from 1 species
AUACUCUGGUUUCUCUUCAGAUCGUAUACAUCUUUUGCCUUUUACUAAAGAUUUCUGUGGAGCGGAACAAUUCUGAGUCUUAACCCAAUUUUUUGAGGCCUUGCAUCUGUAAGGCU